rnacentral:rRNA from 1 species
UUGUGCUAAGGUAGCAUAAUCAUUUGUCUUUUAAUUAAAGACUAGAACAAAAGAUUGAACAUUUUAAUUAAUAUAUUUAAAUUAAUUAAUUAAAUUUAUUUUAAAUGUAAAAAAACAUUUAUAAACUAGAAAGACGAUAAGACCCUAUUAAACUUAACUUAAGUUAAACUGGGGCAGUUAAUUAAUUAUUACUUUAAUUUAAAUUUCAAAAUAAAUAGAUCCUAUAAAACAGAUUAAAUGAUCAAGUUACUAUAGGGAUAACAGCGUAAUAUUAAUUUAAAGAUCUUAUUAAAAUAAAAGAUUACGACCUCGAUGUUGAAUUAAUAACCUAUAUAGUUGCAAUAAACAAUAAAGGAAG